rnacentral:rRNA from 1 species
UAGGGAAUCUUCCACAAUGGGCGAAAGCCUGAUGGAGCAACGCCGCGUGCGUGAUGAAGGGUUUCGGCUCGUAAAACACUGUUGUAAGAGAAGAAUGACAUUGAGGGUAACUGUUCAAUGUGUGACGGUAUCUUACCAGAAAGGAACGGCUAAAUACGUGCCAG